CAGUAAAGUUGGAGCAAUCUAAAAUUCCAAUAGAACGAUGGUCUUCGUCUCUUCAUAAACCUUUUUUCUUGUACAAAAUGAACGAAACAGGCUGUAUUACGUAGUUACCUAAAGGACUUGAAUCCUCAAAGUUGUAUAUUUAGGACUAUAAAUUCAUAUUUCUAAUGUAUCAAGCCAAGUUAUUAGAACCAUAACAAGUGACUUACAGGUUCUUUCAACGAUUUUUUAUGUGUAUUUUUCUAGUAUGAAACAAUAACAUUUGAAUCAGAAUAUGUCCAUUUGUAAUAAAUAAUAAUGGUUUUCAGUUAUAUUUAUAUCAAAAAAUAUGAAUAUUACAAGUUAUAACUCUAUAUAUUCAUUCAUUUCAAUUUAGAAUGAGAAUCCGGAACCAAUUUCAAACGUAGCUUCAUAGUGGAGUAGAGUGGACUCCUUCCUUAAGCCUUUCUUCCAUUCGAACCGCUAUCGUAUUUGUUUAUUUUUCUUGUAUCUUAAUAAAUAUUAUAUUAAUCCUUGUGAUAGCCAUUUUUUCCUGAUACCGUAUAAAUAACCUUAGGGACCCAAUAUCGAAAGGCUUCAAAAGAAAUCCAUCAAUAAUUAAUAAAAUAUAUAUAUUUUGUCAUUUAAUUCCUUUUUGAGACUUAUCUUUAAUGCAGACACAAUAAAUUACCUAUAACUUUGGUACGCAUCAA
rnacentral:lncRNA from 1 species